rnacentral:rRNA from 1 species
GAGGGAUCAUUACCGAGUUUACAACUCCCAAACCCAAUGUGAACGUUACCAAACUGUUGCCUCGGCGGGAUCUCUGCCCCGGGUGCGUCGCAGCCCCGGACCAAGGCGCCCGCCGGAGGACCAACCAAAACUCUUUUUGUAUACCCCCUCGCGGGUUUUUUAUAAUCUGAGCCUUCUCGGCGCCUCUCGUAGGCGUUUCGAAAAUGAAUCAAAACUUUCAACAACGGAUCUCUUGGUUCUGGCAUCGAUGAAGAACGCAGCGAAAUGCGAUAAGUAAUGUGAAUUGCAGAAUUCAGUGAAUCAUCGAAUCUUUGAACGCACAUUGCGCCCGCCAGUAUUCUGGCGGGCAUGCCUGUCCGAGCGUCAUUUCAACCCUCGAACCCCUCCGGGGGGUCGGCGUUGGGGAUCGGCCCUCCCUUAGCGGGUGGCCGUCUCCGAAAUACAGUGGCGGUCUCGCCGCAGCCUCUCCUGCGCAGUAGUUUGCACACUCGCAUCGGGAGCGCGGCGCGUCCACAGCCGUUAAACACCCAACUUCUGAAAUGUUGACCUCGGAUCAGGUAGGAAUACCCGCUGAACUUAAGCAU